rnacentral:rRNA from 1 species
CCGCGGUAUUUUGACCGUGCUAAGGUAGCAUAAUCAUUAGUUUUUUAAUUGAAAGCUGGAAUGAAGGGCUGAAUGAAAAAAAAACUGUCUCUAAUUAAUUAUUUUAGAAUUUUAUUUUUAAGUUAAAAAGCUUAAAUUUUAUUAAAAGACGAGAAGACCCUAUAGAGUUUAAUAAUUACAUAUUAUAAAAAAUUUGGAAUUUAUUUUUUUAUUUUUAUAUAAGAAUUUGAUUGGGGUGAUUAAAAAAUUUAAUAAACUUUUUUAUUUAAUUAUAUUAAUGAAUAAUUAGUUGAUCCAGAAAUUUUGAUUAUAAGAUAAAAUUACCUUAGGGAUAACAGCGUAAUUUUGUUAGAGAGUU